GAUGAACGCUGGCGGUGUGCCUAAUACAUGCAAGUCGAGCGAACGGACGAGAAGCUUGCUUCUCUGAUGUUAGCGGCGGACGGGUGAGUAACACGUGGAUAACCUACCUAUAAGACUGGGAUAACUUCGGGAAACCGGAGCUAAUACCGGAUAAUAUUUUGAACCGCAUGGUUCAAAAGUGAAAGACGGUCUUGCUGUCACUUAUAGAUGGAUCCGCGCUGCAUUAGCUAGUUGGUAAGGUAACGGCUUACCAAGGCAACGAUGCAUAGCCGACCUGAGAGGGUGAUCGGCCACACUGGAACUGAGACACGGUCCAGACUCCUACGGGAGGCAGCAGUAGGGAAUCUUCCGCAAUGGGCGAAAGCCUGACGGAGCAACGCCGCGUGAGUGAUGAAGGUCUUCGGAUCGUAAAACUCUGUUAUUAGGGAAGAACAUAUGUGUAAGUAACUGUGCACAUCUUGACGGUACCUAAUCAGAAAGCCACGGCUAACUACGUGCCAGCAGCCGCGGUAAUACGUAGGUGGCAAGCGUUAUCCGGAAUUAUUGGGCGUAAAGCGCGCGCAGGCGGUUUUUUAAGUCUGAUGUGAAAGCCCACGGCUCAACCGUGGAGGGUCAUUGGAAACUGGAAAACUUGAGUGCAGAAGAGGAAAGUGGAAUUCCAUGUGUAGCGGUGAAAUGCGCAGAGAUAUGGAGGAACACCAGUGGCGAAGGCGACUUUCUGGUCUGUAACUGACGCUGAUGUGCGAAAGCGUGGGGAUCAAACAGGAUUAGAUACCCUGGUAGUCCACGCCGUAAACGAUGAGUGCUAAGUGUUAGGGGGUUUCCGCCCCUUAGUGCUGCAGCUAACGCAUUAAGCACUCCGCCUGGGGAGUACGACCGCAAGGUUGAAACUCAAAGGAAUUGACGGGGACCCGCACAAGCGGUGGAGCAUGUGGUUUAAUUCGAAGCAACGCGAAGAACCUUACCAAAUCUUGACAUCCUUUGACAACUCUAGAGAUAGAGCCUUCCCCUUCGGGGGACAAAGUGACAGGUGGUGCAUGGUUGUCGUCAGCUCGUGUCGUGAGAUGUUGGGUUAAGUCCCGCAACGAGCGCAACCCUUAAGCUUAGUUGCCAUCAUUAAGUUGGGCACUCUAAGUUGACUGCCGGUGACAAACCGGAGGAAGGUGGGGAUGACGUCAAAUCAUCAUGCCCCUUAUGAUUUGGGCUACACACGUGCUACAAUGGACAAUACAAAGGGCAGCGAAACCGCGAGGUCAAGCAAAUCCCAUAAAGUUGUUCUCAGUUCGGAUUGUAGUCUGCAACUCGACUACAUGAAGCUGGAAUCGCUAGUAAUCGUAGAUCAGCAUGCUACGGUGAAUACGUUCCCGGGUCU
rnacentral:rRNA from 1 species